rnacentral:rRNA from 1 species
UACGUAGGGUGCAAGCGUUGUCCGGAAUUAUUGGGCGUAAAGAGCUCGUAGGCGGUCUGUCGCGUCUGCUGUGAAAACUCGGGGCUUAACCCCGGGCCUGCAGUGGGUACGGGCAGACUAGAGUGCGGUAGGGGAGACUGGAAUUCCUGGUGUAGCGGUGAAAUGCGCAGAUAUCAGGAGGAACACCCGUAGCGAAGGCGGCACUCUGGGCCGGAACUGACGCUGAGGAGCGAAAGCGUGGGGAGCAAACAGG